rnacentral:snRNA from 1 species
GUGCUCAUUUUGGCAGCACAUAUACUAAAAUUGGAAUGAUAUAGAGAAGAUUAGUAUGGCCACUGUGCAAGGAUGACACGCAAAUUCAUGAAACAUUCCAUAUUUUU